UACGUAGGGGGCAAGCGUUGUCCGGAUUUAUUGGGCGUAAAGAGCGUGUAGGCGGCUUGGUAGGUCCGCUGUGAAAACUCGAGGCUCAACCUCGAGAUGUCGGCGGAAACCACUUGGCUAGAGUCCGGAAGAGGAGAGUGGAAUUCCCGGUGUAGCGGUGAAAUGACGCAGAUAUCGGGAAGAACACCUAUGGCGAAGGCAGCUCUCUGGGACGGUACUGACGCUGAAGACGCGAAAGCGUGGGGGAGCGAACAGG
rnacentral:rRNA from 1 species